ensembl:lncRNA
CAUCUGUAUUUUCAGCUGAACAUGUAAUGAGUGAAUAAGCAUGAUGCAUAUUUAAGUCUACAUGCAUAGUAGCUGUAUUUCCAGGUCUGCUGUAAUAGUUAUAUUUUCCAUUCUGUGUCCCACCACAUAAAAUAAGAAGCUGGCUGCAUGUGAUGAAGUUCAUGCGAAGGAGUGAACUAUAGAAGGUGCAGAGGAUAGGAUGAGUCAUGAUGACUGAAUUUCUCUUGCCUAAGUGUAUGAGCAGAAUGGGGACUUACUACAACAGUUUACAAAUGGUCAUAGAAUGCUUUUUGUUUCAGUUUUCCUACUUUGCUCCCCAUGAAAGAUGCAAUAAAUGCUGUUGCUUUAAAGGAUUGAUACAAAUUAAAUACAUUUUAGUGAUUUAAAAUUAAAUUAGUCAAUCAACAUGGAUUAAUUAUACUGUAUAUUUGCAGUAUAUUUAUAGUGUAUAUCUAUUAUACACAAUAGUGUCUGGUUGUCACUCAUCACUCUAAACAUCUAUGUAAUUUGGUAUCUAUGUUUCCAAGUCAUAUCUUCAGUCACAUUUCUGUAGCUGCAGAUAUUAUUCAGUGUGAUACAGGAAAAGUACAGUUUUAAACCAAGAUAAGCUAAGAAUGAUAAGGAUUUUUAGUUAAGAGUGACACAAAACAAUAUGGUGGGUUAUCAACAUAAACAUAAAUAGGAAUUUCUAGUGCCUUUCUAGUACUUCAGUCUCAGAACAAUUUAAAACAUUUAAAACAUACAAAAAAUGCUUUCCUAGGGCAGCUUUUGUCUGGGUGGUGCCUACUGCAGAGUCCACCCAUGCCCAGCUGGAGAUGCUACAGUUUGCUGCUGAUUGAGUAAAUCCUCUCAUCUCUCUCCACCUUCAUACUCAUGGCCUCUAUGCAGUGCUGUAGAUGCUAAGAGUUAAUCAUCACCACACAGAUAAUUGCCUUGCCUUCUAUGCUGAUGAGAGAUCCAAUCCUGACUUUAUGGAAGAGAUCAGGUAGAGUCAGGUGGAUGGAAAGUAAGGGCCUUGCAUGGAAGAACCUGUUUCCUUCCUAGCACAUGGCUUGGGAGUACUGAGAAGAAUGGAGGGCAUGGCUACUGAAUGUGGGAAUAGUUGUUGGGGGAAUAAAUGUCCACACACAAGCUAGAAUGAACAGCUAGCAAAGGAAGAAAGCUUAUCAUAAUAAUCCCCUCAGUAUUUCAAUAACUAUUCCAUCUUGCUUAUCUGAAUUCCAGUCAAUGGCUGUCCUCCCACCUGGCUCAGUCUUCAGACUUGCAAUAAUGCUCUGGAAAUAUUUACUUAUUUUGCCACAAAUCUGCCUGCCAACAACACACAGGGGGCUCAUUGCACUGGUUCAAUACUAGAGUAUUGAUCUACCAUCUUCUUCAGAGUGCUCAUAAUGAAGGCAAAGAAUUUACCAUUCUCAUAUGUAAAGAGGAAAAAAAAAUAUUUGCAGUGGAAACAAUUCAAAAGCUGUUUCUUUCAGUCUAUUGUCUAUGCAGAUGGAGAGUUACCAAAAGAAGUCAGGAAAGCAAUCAGCAUAUUUGUAGCACUUUCACUACAGCUUGCUCCUGCUUUAUGUGUUGCAGCCACAGGCAGAUGAUGAGACAGUUUCUCAGACACUCAGUGCCAUAGCAGUAUGGUAUCCAUUCAACUUCCUGAUAAUUGAAAAGGCACAAAAGAUUUUUCAAAAAAACCAGAAGUAACAAUAAAAUGGAUAUGGCCCAGAAAUUGGGUAACAGGAAAUUGGGUAACUUGUUCCCUGAAAGGGGGAACAAGUAAGCUUGAUAGCUACGUGAAAAUGGUAUUCCAGGUCCAUAAUUUACCUACAUAGAUUACAUGUGAGAAAGACUAUAUGUGUGUAAGACUAUCAGGCCUCGUCAAGGAGACUUCUGCCUUUGAUCGUCAGGGACUCUCUCCAGGAGUUUGCCAGCAAAUGUCACCGUUUGACAUGACCUUCAUGACUGGUUUCUCUUACUCCUCUGGACAGAAGGACUCUUCCAUUACUUCACUUUUUGCACCAUUAUUUUACAGGCUUUAAAUAAAAAUCAGUAUUUAUUUUUCUGGAUUUUCCAACAUAUAUUUAUGGUUGUCUAAUAAUAGUUUUGCAUGCAUGCAUCCAAGAUAUAUUUUACAACAGUACCUGUAUUUCUCCAACUACAUUGUUUGAGUAUGAGUAGAACUCUCCUAUAUGCUGAAAAUGUUUCACAAGUUCAAGCCUGCAUCACUCAGUUAAGUUUGUGGUCGGGAGACAAGAAUGUGUCAUAGUGUCUGGCAGGAAGCAAAGCCCCAGGCAGGCUUAAUACUAUCACAUAAUCUUAGCUUUUUGUUCAUGGAUGCUCUCAUACAGCUGAUGGCAUACGGUGGGCAAAAACUAGGCAUGCAUUUGUAGACUGUAAACUCAUCUAUUACUUUCAAUUAAUAUUAAUUCAAUCAAUAAUUGUGUAUUAAUUAUACACAAUUAAUUGUGUAUAUGCUUUGUUGUCCAGUGUUUUACUUGACCAUAGAAGCAUUUUUCCAAAAUAUCCCCAGCCUUCCAUUCCUGCUUCGGUCUCCACUGUAUGUUACUACCACUAAAAGCAAUACUGUGGGACAUUUCCCUCAAAAUCCACUGUUAAAUAAAAGCAUUCAGUCACCUGUGCUGCUCCAGCAGAACGCUCUGGCUGUGAUCAUGGUAUUCAUGUACAAUGUGGAUUUAUUUUCCCCUUGACUUCUGGGAAACACUACAUGGAGCAGAGGAAGUGCUCUGUGCCUCCUCCACCAGAUCAAGGAAGCACACAGAUAACACAGAGUGCAAACCUGCUCAGUCAUAGUCUCCAAGCAGCUCUGCAUCCUCAUAUGCACAGGGAAAUUGUCCAUGUGUCAUACAUCCCACUUUUUCAGCCACUCACACCAUCCCUUCAGCUAUGAAUUCGACUGCUAAUGUAACUGCAGAGUAAGUUAAAUGCAUCCCUCUGCUUCGGGCAAGAAUGCGCCUCUUUUAGCUUUCCCUGGUCUAACUGGCUGAACCUGCUGAUGGUCUCUUUCUCACCACUGGCUGACAAGUAGAAACAUGAAAAAUCUCUCAUCCACUUCAGAGAGGAAAAAGCUCAGAAAAAUACGAAAGUGAGUAUGAAAGAAAGAAAUCGUAAAAAAAAAAAAA